CGCGUGAUCAGCGGCUGCCCAGCGGCGUGGAGAGCGUGUCAGCUCUGCGUGUGCACUAGCCCCGGCAGCGUGUUCCCGGCGCAGCCCUUGGAAGCAGAGCAAAGGCUUGGAAGAGUCAGGGGUGACAGAGGAGCUGAGGAAGAGAGAAGGAGCCUGGGAGUGAACCUAGAGGGUUGUUGGGUGCCACUGAAUGAAAUGUUAAACAGCAUAGGGCCAAGAACUGAUCUAUGUGGGAUCCUGCUAGAACCACACUGGCUUC